rnacentral:rRNA from 1 species
UGAACGCUAGCUACAGGCUUAACACAUGCAAGUCGAGGGGCAGCAUGUGGUUGCUUGCAACCAAUGAUGGCGACCGGCGCACGGGUGAGUAACGCGUAUCCAACCUUCCCUAUAGUAGAGGAUAGCCCGGCGAAAGUCGGAUUAAUACUCUAUGUUUUCCAAUGCAGACAUCUAAGUUGGAACAAAGGUUCACCGCUAUAGGAUGGGGAUGCGUCUGAUUAGAUAGUCGGCGGGGUAACGGCCCACCGAGUCGACGAUCAGUAGGGGUUCUGAGAGGAAGGUCCCCCACAUUGGAACUGAGACACGGUCCAAACUCCUACGGGAGGCAGCAGUGAGGAAUAUUGGUCAAUGGGCGAGAGCCUGAACCAGCCAAGUAGCGUGCAGGAUGACGGCCCUAUGGGUUGUAAACUGCUUUUAUACAGGGAUAAAGUGACGUACGUGUACGUUUUUGUAGGUACUGUAUGAAUAAGGACCGGCUAAUUCCGUGCCAGCAGCCGC